rnacentral:rRNA from 1 species
UACGUAGGGUGCGAGCGUUAAUCGGAAUUACUGGGCGUAAAGCGUGCGCAGGCGGUUCGUCGUGUCCGAUGUGAAAGCCCCGGGCUCAACCCUGGGCCUGCAUUCGAUACGGGCAGACUAGAGUUCGGUAGGGGAGACUGGAAUUCCUGGUGUAGCGGUGAAAUGCGCAGAUAUCAGGAGGAACACCGGUGGCGAAGGCGGGUCUCUGGGCCGAAACUGACGCUGAGGAGCGAAAGCGUGGGGAGCGAACAGG